AGCGAACGCUGGCGGCAGGCCUAACACAUGCAAGUCGAGCGGCCGUAGCAAUACGGCAGCGGCAGACGGGAGAGUAACACGUGGGAACGUACCUUUCAGUUCGGAACAACCCAGGGAAACUUGGGCUAAUACCGGAUACGCCCGUAAGGGGAAAGAUUUAUCGCUGAAAGAUCGGCCCGCGUCUGAUUAGCUAGUUGGUGAGGUAACGGCUCACCAAGGCGACGAUCAGUAGCUGGCUGAGAGGAUGAUCAGCCUCAUUGGGACUGAGACACGGCCCAAACUCCUACGGGAGGCAGCAGUGGGGAAUAUUGGACAAUGGGCGCAAGCCUGAUCCAGCCAUGCCGCGUGGGUGAUGAAGGCCCUAGGGUUGUAAACUUCUUUUGUACGGGAAAAACCUCUCUACGUGUAGAGAGCUGAUUGUACCGUAAGAAUAAGGAUCGGCUAACUCCGUGCCAGCCGCCGCUGU
rnacentral:rRNA from 1 species